GUGCUCUGUGGAAACUUAUGAAACCUGGUGGUGUACUCAGGAGCCAGGAUGAAAACCAGCAGCGUGGACCCAAGUGUGGCCAGAGGGAAGAAACUUGAAGCCACAUGUCUACAGCAGUGUCCUGGCAGACAGGAAUAAAUGGACACACUUUCCAAGGUCACGAGAAAGACUUUCUAAAAUGGUGGCCCAUUAAAGCAACGAUACUGUUGUAAGCAAGAGAGAUGGCUUCAGCGGUGAAGGUCACUGGCUGUUCUUGUAGAGGACUAGGGUUCUGUUCCCAGCAUGCGCAGGGUGACUCACGACUGUCUGUGGCUUCAGUUCUAAAAGAUCUGAUGACAUCUUGUGGCUUCUGAACACAUAAGGUGCACAUAACUUCAUAAAUGCAAUUAGUAUGUAAAACAGCGGCUCUCCUGGAAAUGACUGCUCGGGGGCUGAGCUCAGAUGAGAAGAUUUACAACAGAGAAAAGCUGUGUGAAGCCAGUGGAUGUGGAUGUGCAAAAAAAAAAAAAAACGUGGCAAAAAUCACUAAGGGCCCUAGAGGGCGACUGAGAAUUAGAAACAGGAUUUGAGCUACAGGUGAUGUUCUGUCUUUGAAGGUGGAGUCUUUAAGCUUAGCGUCUCGUACACGCUUUCUGCUCUCCCAAAUGCUACCCAACAUGUGUUUUCAAUUGAACUUUGAAACUAACAUUCUAUGUUUUUGGAGAAAACGUAGAAGUCAUUAUGAAACUAAUAAUAGCAUCGAAGGUGCUGUUCAUUCAGACAGUGUCCCAGAGUUGGGGACAUAAAAAAAUGUCAUUCCUA
rnacentral:lncRNA from 1 species